AUUGAACGCUGGCGGCAGGCCUAACACAUGCAAGUCGAGCGGAUGAAGGGAGCUUGCUCCUGGAUUCAGCGGCGGACGGGUGAGUAAUGCCUAGGAAUCUGCCUGGUAGUGGGGGAUAACGUCCGGAAACGGGCGCUAAUACCGCAUACGUCCUGAGGUAGAAAGUGGGGGAUCUUCGGACCUCACGCUAUCAGAUGAGCCUAGGUCGGAUUAGCUAGUUGGUGGGGUAAAGGCCUACCAAGGCGACGAUCCGUAACUGGUCUGAGAGGAUGAUCAGUCACACUGGAACGGAGACACGGUCCAGACUACUACGGGAGGCAGCAGUGGGGAAUAUUGGACAAUGGGCGAAAGCCUGAUCCAGCCAUGCCGCGUGUGUGAAGAAGGUCUUCGGAUUGUAAAGCACUUUAAGUUGGGAGGAAGGGCAGUAAGUUAAUACCUUGCUGUUUUGACGUUACCAACAGAAUAAGCACCGGCUAACUUCGUG
rnacentral:rRNA from 1 species